UUAAGCGCCGCAACAACCAGGUACAGACGCUGUGUGAAACAGCCUCUGUAGCCGCUUGGGUGGUGUCUACUGGUGGAAGGACCACGCCGAGUUUUUUUUUGUUUUUAGGGGCUGGUCCGAGCGUGGCUGCCCGGGAAGGUGGAGGGUUUGGUGAUGGAGUCUCUCAUUUCAGCCCCAUCACUCCUUGCGUGACGUGGCCCUUGUGUCCUGGGGGCUGGAAUGAGCUUCAGAUGUUCCCUCUGCAGUCGGACACCCACUGUGUGGACUGAAGGGCAUCUCCUCAGCCUCUGUGAAUGGUGGUGGACCCCCACCUGUUUUUCGGCCCUCAGCCUUUUUCUAUUGGCUAUAAUGAAGACUCCAGAUUAUCAAGCAAAGAAGAAGCAGAGCAAAGAACUUUGGCAAAAACUUUUCAUUGAGAUAGCUUAACAAAUCCCCAAAGAAAACCUUUAUCUAAUUAGGAAAUUUCCAUUAACUAGAUCACAUGUUGACUGUAGCUACCGAAUGCUGUCUAACUGGGUAGAAAAGGCAAAACGACAAUGACAUCAUACCUCACCUGUUUGAACAUUUUUAUAUUUCAUCCUCAUUUGCAGCCUGUUGGGUUGCACCUGCGUUUUAAAAUGCACACACAUGGCUGAUGCAUCACAUAAACCUAAAUGAGUGGGAUACAAAUGUUUAAUAUGUGGAACACUUGAGAUAAAAAUAAUACUCACACGUUGACUCUUUUCUGCCAGCUCAUGUUCUUUUGCUGCAAAUACUGUAUUGCCUUUUCCCCGAUACAUAUGGUCAAAUUCUGCAUGUGCAUUCAUUAAUAUUUGU